rnacentral:rRNA from 1 species
UGCCAGCAGCCGCGGUAAUACGGAGGGUGCAAGCGUUGUUCGGAAUUAUUGGGCGUAAAGGGCGCGUAGGCGGUCUUAUCGGUCAGAUGUGAAAGCCCGGGGCUCAACCCCGGACGUGCAUUUGAAACAGUAAGACUUGAGUACGGGAGAGGAGAGAGGAAUUCCUGGUGUAGAGGUGAAAUUCGUAGAUAUCAGGAGGAACACCGAUGGCGAAGGCAUCUCUCUGGGCCGAUAUUGACGCUGAGGCGCGAAAGCGUGGGGAGCAAACAGGAUUAGAUA